rnacentral:tRNA from 1 species
CAGUGGGUAGUUUAAUAAAAAUGCUAAUUUUGGGGAUUAGUGAUAGGUUUCCUUCCUCUGACUGU